rnacentral:rRNA from 1 species
GUAGGUGGCAAGCGUUGUCCGGAAUUAUUGGGCGUAAAGCGCGCGCAGGCGGUCCUUUAAGUCUGAUGUGAAAGCCCACGGCUCAACCGUGGAGGGUCAUUGGAAACUGGGGGACUUGAGUACAGAAGAGGAAAGCGGAAUUCCACGUGUAGCGGUGAAAUGCGUAGAGAUGAGGAGGAACACCAGUGGCGAAGGCGGCUUUCUGGUCUGUAACUGACGCUGAGGCGCGAAAGCGUGGGGAGCAAACAGGGAUUAGAUACCCUGGUAGUCCACGCCGUAAACGAUGAGUGCUAAGUGUUAGGGGGUUUCCCGCCCCUUAGUGCUGCAGCUAACGCAUUAAGCACUCCGCCUGGGGAGUACGGCCGCAAGGCUG